rnacentral:rRNA from 1 species
CGGUGAUCUAGCCAUGGGCAGGUUGAAGGUUGGGUAACACUAACUGGAGGACCGAACCGACUAAUGUUGAAAAAUUAGCGGAUGACCUGUGGCUGGGGGUGAAAGGCCAAUCAAACCGGGAGAUAGCUGGUUCUCCCCGAAAGCUAUUUAGGUAGCGCCUCGUGAAUUCAUCUCCGGGGGUAGAGCACUGUUUCGGCUAGGGGGCCAUCCCGGCUUACCAACCCGAUGCAAACUGCGAAUACCGGAGAAUGUUAUCACGGGAGACACACGGCGGGUGCUAACGUCCGUCGUGAAGAGGGAAACAACCCAGACCGCCAGCUAAGGUCCCAAAGUCAUGGUUAAGUGGGAAACGAUGUGGGAAGGCCCAGACAGCCAGGAUGUUGGCUUAGAAGCAGCCAUCAUUUAAAGAAAGCGUAAUAGCUCACUGGUCGAGUCGGCCUGCGCGGAAGAUGUAACGGGGCUAAACCAUGCACCGAAGCUGCGGCAGCGACACUGUGUGUUGUUGGGUAGGGGAGCGUUCUGUAAGCCUGCGAAGGUGGCCUGUGAGGGUUGCUGGAGGUAUCAGAAGUGCGAAUGCUGACAUAAGUAACGAUAAAGCGGGUGAAAAGCCCGCUCGCCGGAAGACCAAGGGUUCCUGUCCAACGUUAAUCGGGGCAGGGUGAGUCGACCCCUAAGGCGAGGCCGAAAGGCGUAGUCGAUGGGAAACGGGUUAAUAUUCCCGUACUUGGUGUUACUGCGAAGGGGGGACGGAGAAGGCUAUGUUGGCCGGGCGACGGUUGUCCCGGUUUAAGCGUGUAGGUGUGUGUUCCAGGUAAAUCCGGUUCACUUUAACACUGAGGCGUGACGACGAGGCACUACGGUGCUGAAGCAACAAAUGCCCUGCUUCCAGGAAAAGCCUCUAAGCAUCAGGUAACAUCAAAUCGUACCCCAAACCGACACAGGUGGUCAGGUAGAGAAUACCAAGGCGCUUGAGAGAACUCGGGUGAAGGAACUAGGCAAAAUGGUGCCGUAACUUCGGGAGAAGGCACGCUGACACGUAGGUGAAGUGAUUUACUCAUGGAGCUGAAGUCAGUCGAAGAUACCAGCUGGCUGCAACUGUUUAUUAAAAACACAGCACUGUGCAAACACGAAAGUGGACGUAUACGGUGUGACGCCUGCCCGGUGCCGGAAGGUUAAUUGAUGGGGUCAGCGCAAGCGAAGCUCCUGAUCGAAGCCCCGGUAAACGGCGGCCGUAACUAUAACGGUCCUAAGGUAGCGAAAUUCCUUGUCGGGUAAGUUCCGACCUGCACGAAUGGCGUAAUGAUGGCCAGGCUGUCUCCACCCGAGACUCAGUGAAAUUGAACUCGCUGUGAAGAUGCAGUGUACCCGCGGCAAGACGGAAAGACCCCGUGAACCUUUACUAUAGCUUGACACUGAACAUUGAGCCUUGAUGUGUAGGAUAGGUGGGAGGCUUUGAAGUGUGGACGCCAGUCUGCAUGGAGCCGACCUUGAAAUACCACCCUUUAAUGUUUGAUGUUCUAACGUGGACCCGUUACCCGGGUUGCGGACAGUGUCUGGUGGGUAGUUUGACUGGGGCGGUCUCCUCCUAAAGAGUAACGGAGGAGCACGAAGGUUGGCUAAUCCUGGUCGGACAUCAGGAGGUUAGUGCAAUGGCAUAAGCCAGCUUGACUGCGAGCGUGACGGCGCGAGCAGGUGCGAAAGCAGGUCAUAGUGAUCCGGUGGUUCUGAAUGGAAGGGCCAUCGCUCAACGGAUAAAAGGUACUCCGGGGAUAACAGGCUGAUACCGCCCAAGAGUUCAUAUCGACGGCGGUGUUUGGCACCUCGAUGUCGGCUCAUCACAUCCUGGGGCUGAAGUAGGUCCCAAGGGUAUGGCUGUUCGCCAUUUAAAGUGGUACGCGAGCUGGGUUUAGAACGUCGUGAGACAGUUCGGUCCCUAUCUGCCGUGGGCGCUGGAGAACUGAGGGGGGCUGCUCCUAGUACGAGAGGACCGGAGUGGACGCAUCACUGGUGUUCGGGUUGUCAUGCCAAUGGCACUGCCCGGUAGCUAAAUGCGGAAGAGAUAAGUGCUGAAAGCAUCUAAGCACGAAACUUGCCCCGA